rnacentral:rRNA from 1 species
GACGAACGCUGGCGGCGUGCCUAAUACAUGCAAGUAGGACGCAGUUGCGAACGGGUGAGUAACGCGUAGGUAACUACCUAUUAGAGGGGGAUAACUAUUGGAAACGAUAGCUAAUACCGCAUACUAGUAGAUGGACCUGCGUUGUAUUAGCUAGUAGGUAGGGUAAUGGCCUACCUAGGCAACGAUACAUAGCCGACUUGGGGGGCUGAUCGGGCAAACUGGGACUGGGAAACGUUCCCGAUUCCUACGGGAGGCAGCAGAAGGGAAACUUCGGCAAUGGGGGGAACCCUGACCGAGCAACGCCGCGUGAGGUAAGAAGGUUUUCGGAGCGUAAAGCUCUGUUGUUAAGGAAGCGGUACUUAACCAGAAAGGGACGGCUAACUACGUGCCAGCAGCCGCGGUAAUAC